CUCUUCCCAGCCCGCCCCCUCCGGAGGUCAAAAGCCUUGGUCAGUAGCCCUGUGGCCUGUGCGGUGAGCCCGGGGUCUCCAGGUCGGCCUUGGUUGUUCCGCUCGCCAGCUCGCUGCCCACAUGGCCCUGAGAGGCGUCUAUGGGUGGCUACUGAGCCGCGGACCCAGCCUGCGAGUCCUUCGUUCAUGGAGCUCGGCGGCGACGCAGACCGAAAAAGGCGGGAAGACCCAGAGCCGAUCUGCCAAGUCUUUGCGGCCCGAGUUUGACUGGAGGGACCCACUAUUGCUGGAGGAGCAGCUGACAGCAGAUGAGGUCCUCAUCAGGGACACCUUCCGCACCUACUGCCAGGAGCGCCUCAUGCCCCGCAUCCUGCUGGCCAAUCGCAACGAAGUUUUUCACCGGGAGAUCAUCUCAGAGAUGGGGGAGCUGGGUGUGCUGGGCCCCACCAUCAAAGGGUAUGGCUGUGCUGGAGUCUCAUCUGUGGCCUAUGGGCUCCUGGCCCGAGAGCUGGAGCGAGUGGACAGCGGCUACAGGUCAGCGAUGAGUGUCCAGUCCUCCCUUGUCAUGCACCCCAUCUACGCGUACGGCAGCGAGGAGCAGCAACAGAAGUACCUGCCCCGGCUGGCCAAGGGGGAGCUUCUGGGCUGCUUUGGGCUCACAGAGCCUAACCAUGGGAGUGACCCCGGCAGCAUGGAGACCAGAGCCCGCCAGAACCCGUCCGGCAGGAGCUACACCCUCAAUGGGGCCAAGACCUGGAUCACCAACUCACCUGUGGCCGACCUGUUCGUAGUGUGGGCUCGGUGCGAAGAUAGUUGCAUUCGGGGCUUCCUGUUGGAGAAGGGGAUGCGGGGCCUCUCGGCCCCCAAGAUUGAGGGAAAGUUCUCUCUGCGGGCCUCGGCCACGGGUAUGAUUAUCAUGGACGAUGUGGAAGUGCCAGAGGAGAAUGUGCUGCCCAAGGCGUCUGGUCUGGCGGGUCCCUUUGGCUGCCUAAACAAUGCCCGCUAUGGCAUCACCUGGGGUGUGCUUGGAGCUGCUGAGUUCUGUUUGCACACGGCCCGGCAGUACACCCUGGACAGGAUCCAGUUUGGUGUCCCACUGGCCAAGAACCAACUGAUUCAGAAGAAGCUGGCGGACAUGCUCACCGAGAUCACGCUGGGCCUUCAUGCCUGCCUGCAGCUCGGCCGCUUGAAGGAUCAAGACAAGGCCACCCCGGAAAUGAUCUCCCUACUGAAGAGGAAUAACUGUGGGAAGGCCCUGGACAUUGCCCGCCAGGCCCGAGACAUGCUGGGAGGGAAUGGGAUUUCUGAUGAGUAUCACGUGAUCCGGCAUGCCAUGAACCUGGAGGCCGUGAACACCUAUGAAGGCACUCAUGACAUCCAUGCUCUGAUCCUCGGAAGGGCAAUCACAGGGAUCCAGGCGUUCACAGCCAGCAAGUGAAGCCACUUCACCUGGGAGCCCGGAUGGUACCAAACCCCUUCCCAGGGAGAUACUGCGCUCUGAGCUCAGUCAGGGAGGUGGCAGAUGGAGCCAUUUCUUCUGGUGGGAAGUGAGAGACGCUGAUUUUUAAAUAUCAAAAUUUCCCUUUUGAAGUCAUUCAAAUGUGUUCCUUAAAAAGAAGAUGGGACUGUCUGUACUGAGUUUCUCAAUCCAGUUUUAACUGUGGAUGGGAACAGACUCCACUCACCUUGGAACAGAAGCUCCCUUUGACAGGGGAGCAGGGAGAGGGAAGGAGAGUGACAUGGAAGCAACUUGUGAGACCCACCUGGUGUCUGACUACGCAAACUAGCCCCUCCACACAGCAAGAGUUUACUCUGUGCCCUCUGACCCUCCCAUCUUAGGCUGCUACAACUCUCGUUCCUCUGGCGGCACCCAUGUGCAUGCGUGAGUUCAGUCCUACCUCAGGCUGGCUGCACAGGUCUUUGUACAUGGUCUCCACGCUGUGGCACACUUCUUUGAGUUCUGUUUCCAGCUUCUCUGUCAGGUCUGAAACCUUUGAAAGAAUAAGAUGUUCUUGGAAAGUCAAACAAGAGGCAUCACAAGACAUUUGUUCUAGCUGGCUCUUUAAGAUUUCUGCAAUUUAUCUUAUAAAAGUGGUAAAAACAACUCCUGUGACUGGAGGUGAAAUUGCCUAUAUGUUAAGUUUUUCUUUUUAAAAAGCAAGGUGCGAGAAUUCCCCGGUGGUCCAGUGGUAAAGAAUCCGCC